UACAGAGGUCCCGAGCGUUGUUCGGAUUCACUGGGCGUAAAGGGUGCGUAGGUGGUGAGGUGUGUCGGAUGUGAAAUCUCCAAGCUCAACUUGGAAAAGGCAUUGGAAACUACCUUGCUAGAGGGUUGGAGGGGGGACUGGAAUACUUGGUGUAGCAGUGAAAUGCGUAGAUAUCAAGUGGAACACCAGUGGCGAAGGCGAGUCCCUGGACAACUCCUGACACUGAGGCACGAAAGCUAGGGGAGCAAACAGG
rnacentral:rRNA from 1 species